CUGUCUUUGACAAAAAUGUUGGGUCAAAGACAACGAUUUUGGAAAAAACUGUUGUCUUUUACACAAUAGAAAACACUUUUGUCAAAAACUGUUGUUGUUGUGGUGUUGGCUAUG